AAAGGAAUUGACGGGGGCCCGCACAAGCAGUGGAUUAUGUGGUUUAAUUCGAAGCAACGCGAAGAACCUUACCAGGUCUUGACAUCCGACUAACGAGGCAGAGAUGCGUUAGGUGCCCUUCGGGGAAAGUCGAGACAGGUGGUGCAUGGUUGUCGUCAGCUCGUGUCGUGAGAUGUUGGGUUAAGUCCCGCAACGAGCGCAACCCUUGCCAUUAGUUGCUACGCAAGAGCACUCUAAUGGGACCGCUACCGACAAGGUGGAGGAAGGUGGGGACGACGUCAAAUCAUCAUGCCCCUUAUGACCUGGGCUACACACGUAAUACAAUGGCCGUAAACAGAGGGAAGCGAACACGCGAGUGGGAGCAAACCCCCAAAAACGGUCUCAGUUCGGAUCGCAGGCUGCAACCCGCCUGCGUGAAGUUGGAAUUGCUAGUAAUCGCGGAUCAGCAUGCCGCGGUGAAUACGUUCCCGGGCCUUGUACACACCGCCCGU
rnacentral:rRNA from 1 species